GACGAACGCUGGCGGCGUGCUUAACACAUGCAAGUCGAACGGAAAGGCCCUGCUUUUGUGGGGUGCUCGAGUGGCGAACGGGUGAGUAACACGUGAGUAACCUGCCCUUGACUUUGGGAUAACUUCAGGAAACUGGGGCUAAUACCGGAUAGGAGCUCCUGCUGCAUGGUGGGGGUUGGAAAGUUUCGGCGGUUGGGGAUGGACUCGCGGCUUAUCAGCUUGUUGGUGGGGUAGUGGCUUACCAAGGCUUUGACGGGUAGCCGGCCUGAGAGGGUGACCGGCCACAUUGGGACUGGGGUCCGGCCCAGGCCCCUACCGGGGGCAGGAGUGGGGAAUAUUGCGAAAUGGGGCGGAACCUGAUGGCGCAACGCCGCGGUCGGGAUGACGGCCUUUAGGUUGUAAACCGCUUUCGCCUGUUGCGAAGGGUGGGUGGCGGUAAUGGGUAAAGAAGCCCCCGCUAACUAAG
rnacentral:rRNA from 1 species